rnacentral:rRNA from 1 species
GACAGAGGGUGCAAACGUUGUUCGGAAUUACUGGGCGUAAGCGCGUGUAGGCUGCUUGGCAAGUCGGAUGUGAAAGCCCUGGGCUCAACCCAGGAAGUGCAUUCGAAACUGCCGAGCUGGAGUCCUGGAGAGGAAGGCGGAAUUCUCGGUGUAGAGGUGAAAUUCGUAGAUAUCGAGAGGAACACCGGUGGCGAAGGCGGCCUUCUGGACAGUGACUGACGCUGAGACGCGAAAGCGUGGGGAGCAAACAGG